rnacentral:rRNA from 1 species
CCUGGGGAUUAUUAGUUAUGUUCUUUAAACCUAAAGAAUUUGGCGGUAUUUUAGUCUAUUCAGAGGAAUUUGUCCCAUAAUCGAUAGUCCUCGUUUUAUCUUACUUUAUUUUGUUUUCAGUAUGUAUAUCGCCGUUAUAAGUUUAUUUUUUGAGGAUUUUAAUUUACUUAAAAUUUUAUUUUAUGAUAUUUCANNUCAAGGUGCA